rnacentral:rRNA from 1 species
AUACGUAGGGAGCGAGCGUUGUCCGGAUUUACUGGGUGUAAAGGGUGCGUAGGCGGCUGAACAGGUCAGGUGUGAAAACCAUCGGCUCAACUGAUGGAUUGCACUUGAAACUGUGCAGCUUGAGUGAAGCAGAGGCAGGCGGAAUUCCCGGUGUAGCGGUGAAAUGCGUAGAGAUCGGGAGGAACACCAGUGGCGAAGGCGGCCUGCUGGGCUUUAACUGACGCUGAGGCACGAAAGCAUGGGUAGCAAACAGGAUUAGAUACCCUGGUAGUCCAUGCCGUAAACGAUGAUUACUAGGUGUGGGUGGUCUGACCCCAUCCGUGCCGGAGUUAACACAAUAAGUAAUCCACCUGGGGAGUACGGCCGCAAGGUUGAA